GGUCCUAAAUUAAGUAACGCCUUAUCCACAAAAGUAUUGCCUAUGACACAAGAAAUUGUAGGACAACCGGGGUCCUUAUAUUUCAUGGGAAUUUGAUUCGAGAGAAUCGGGCUUACUUGCGAGGUCAAAAAGGCUUUCUUUGGAACAUGAGUGGUUCUCUUAUGGGUACACAAAUCUUUUAGACACUUGGCAUAAGAAGGAACUUGUUGAAUGGCAUCUAAAAGAGGAAUGUUUAUCUUGACUUGUUUAAAAACCUCUAGAAUUUGUUCCAUUUGGGCCGAUUGUUUAGGGCGAAUGAGUCUUUGUGGGUAAGGAACCCUUGGCUUGUAAACUUCUUCGUUGGGCUUUUGAGAAAUGGGCC
rnacentral:lncRNA from 1 species